AAUAUUGCGCAAUGGAGGAAACUCUGACGCAGCGACGCCGCGUGAGCGAUGAAGGUCUNCGGAUUNUNAAGCUCUUUCCUUGGGGNCGAAGGUCUUCGGACUUGACGGUACCCAUGGAGGAAGCCCCGGCUAACUACGUGCCAGCAGCCGCGGUAAUACGUAGGGGGCAAGCGUUGUCCGGAAUUAUUGGGCGUAAAGGGUGCGUAGGCGGCCUUUUAAGUCAGAUGUGAAAGCCCACGGCUCAACCGUGGGAUUGCAUUUGAAACUGGAGGGCUUGAGUAUCGGAGAGGGUAGUGGAAUUCCCAGUGUAGCGGUGAAAUGCGUAGAUAUUGGGAGGAACACCAGUGGCGAAGGCGACUUUCUGGACUGUAACUGACGCUGAGGUACGAAAGCGUGGGUAGCGAACA
rnacentral:rRNA from 1 species